UCUGUCCCGGUUGCCCCUCUUCCAGGCCAGCUCUCUGCUGUGGCCAGGGAGUGCAGUGGAGGAUGACUCAAGUGCUUGGGACCCUGCACCCGCGUGGGAGACCAGGAAGAAGUACCUGGCUCCUGGCUUCGGAUCAGCAUAGUCCUGGCCGUAGCAGCCAUUUGGGGGGUGAACCAACGGAAGGAAGACUUUUAUCUCUGUCUCUCUCUCUUUUUGUCUAACUCUAUCUGUUGAAUAAAUAAAAAAAAAAAAUAGAAGGUGGGUGUGUUGUAACUUCUAUUGUCAUAAUCACACUCUCACCUCCUCUCUUCCAAGUUGAUCAGUGCCUGGGAGCUAACCCUCAGUGGGUGUAGUAUUCAUCUGUGCUUCUUCAUUCACUGCUCUGGGGAUCUGUGCAGUCCUCAGUGUGAGCACGGAUCCCACUGCAGUGACCACCCCAGACAAUCAGUGGAGUCACACACAGUGAUUGCCCAGAGACCUAGCUACACCCUGUGCCCUCUUGUGAUGUCAUAGUGUUUCUACUGUCUCAGCAUUCAGGGCUCUCACAGGCAUGGGCUACAGAAGAUCCACUCCACCCUGUUAGCCUGUCCUAUCUACAGAGAAGCUGGGUUGGUCCCAGAGCCAGCAGCUUGUGGGUGCUUUGUCUAGGCAGGUUAAACCCUGGAGCUCUGCAGUCUGUGAUAUUUUGAGAGUCUGGGGGCACCUCACAGUCAUAUCCAAAGAAUACUAUAUGUCAUGGCACAUUAGCAGAUAAGCAAGACAGAAAAAAAUUGGAUUUGGGAACCUAUGAUCUUACCAUGGUAAGCACCUUGUAAUUAGUAACUUUGGAAGUAGCACAGUUUUGGCCUGAGUCUUGAUGAUGGAAAUGGACAUAUAUUUUCCUUCCUCACAAAAUGAGGAUAAUUACACAUUCCUUGUACAGUGUUUGUGAAGAUAAAAUGAAAAAAGUUUCAACAGGAGGUCAGUGGUUUGCACCUGAAGUUGAAUGGAUGAGGGAGUCUGUCUGACUUCAUGUUCUCAAGAGCAGGACAUGUACUGCUGAUGGAGCAGGUGGGAACAUGGACUGUCACAAAAGUCCAGGAAACACGCGUUGUAGGUGUCUUAAGCCAAACGAAUCCUGUUUGAAUACUGCCCCAAUUAUCACCAGCAGACAUCUAGUUCUAUUCAGUGCUAAAGAAGGUAAGAGGAAAGAAUUAGCUCUGGAAUUAAUGUAAUUCUGAUGCACAGAAUUUCACAAUUUCAAAAUUAGGAACAUCACAACUCAGUUGUAUUGCUUUCAAGCACAAUACUCUGAACAAGAGUGUGGGGUGGGGACUAUCUAUGGCAAGGUUUGUAGUUCUCUGUAAUUAAAAUUCUCCAGAGUGUGUGAGAGAAAGCACAUGAAUUGGUCUUUAUGGAGUUGGAAACUCUUGGCCCAUUAGUCAUUUCAGUUGGGAUAAAUGUGGCUUAAAAUAUGGAUCAAAAGGGGGCAAAAGUAAAGGUACUUCAGCUCAGAUGAACAGAAAACUGUACUGAAUAAAAAUGCAUAGAGGAAAACUUGGUUGGAUUAUUGUAUAUAGCUAGGGAAAAACCCUAAACCACACCUAGAACACAGAGCAGUAUAGUUAAACUAAAAUGUACGUAUUUUAAUUCUAUUUGCAUUCAUCCUUUGUGCUUUCUCUAAUUGAAUCAUUUUGAGGGUUUAUUUGUUUAUUUAAAAGGCAGAAUUACAGAGGAGCAGAAGCAGAGUGAGAGAGAGAGAGAGGUCUUCUAUCUGCUGGUUACUCCCCACGUGGCCACAAUGGCUAGAGCUAGGCCAAUCCGAAGCCAGGAGCCCUGGCUCUCACAUGUGGGUGCAGGGGCCAAGGACUUGGGCCAUGUUAUUCUGCUUUUCCAGCCAAGUGGGACUCAAACCAGCACCCAUAUGCAAUGCCAGCACUGCAAGUGGUGGCUUUACCUGCGGUGUCAUAGAGCUGGCUCCUCUCUGAAUUAUUGUGAUGGCAU